rnacentral:rRNA from 1 species
AUGCCUCGUCUCGUUGUUAAAAACAACAUUACCGCCGGGGGAGCCCUGGCUGUCAGCCAAACUCUCCGGCUAGGAAAUUUCAUCAUGACCGCCAGUUCGGGUGCUGCACCGAUGAUGACUUCUCGGGUCAGCAAAAAUAGCCUCCACGUCGGCUCGGAAUUCGCCGAGCAGAUGGAUCCAAUGGAGCUCUCUUUCCUAAACGAGCUCUUGGAUCACAUCGCCGCCUUGGGAGUCGCUACGGACUACGAUCGGAUUGGGCUUAAACCCGAUCAAAGGGAGAUUAACUCUUCACCGAUCACCCAUCUUGUUGCGGUGGUGGAGGAACAAUGCAGCGAUUCUUCCUCUAUCUUGAGGACUAACUAUGUCCGGAUUCCUGAGCUCUCCGAGCCGGAUACCCGUUCAUGGGAGGACAUCACCCAAGCCCUGAACCUAGAGUCAGGCAGCAGGCCAGACUUAUCGGGCAACACUCCUGAAUCCGAACUUUCAAGAUUGGAAACUCCUCGGUCCCUGGGUCUCAGACCGAGUAGGGGUUCGGACUCAAAUCCACCCACCCACCCAGACAUAAACGAUCUUUCCCACAUCAGGCAAGAGCCCCAUGAAACAGUACAUCAUUACUGGGCCAGAUUCCUCCUUGUAAUGAACAAGGUUAAGGACUGCCGCGAGGAAGACACAGUCUCAUUUUUCUGCAAUAACUGCACGGACAAGGGAAUCCUAAACGCCAUAAGUCACUGUGACAUAUCACACUUCGCCGACUUGGCAUCCAUAGUACAAAAGUACUGUGCGAUGGAAAGUACCUGGAAAACCGAAACAAAAUUUUGA